CCUAAUACAUGCAAGUUGAGCGCUGAAGGUUGGUACUUGUACCGACUGGAUGAGCAGCGAACGGGUGAGUAACGCGUGGGGAAUCUGCCUUUGAGCGGGGGACAACAUUUGGAAACGAAUGCUAAUACCGCAUAAAAACUUUAAACACAAGUUUUAAGUUUGAAAGAUGCAAUUGCAUCACUCAAAGAUGAUCCCGCGUUGUAUUAGCUAGUUGGUGAGGUAAAGGCUCACCAAGGCGAUGAUACAUAGCCGACCUGAGAGGGUGAUCGGCCACAUUGGGACUGAGACACGGCCCAAACUCCUACGGGAGGCAGCAGUAGGGAAUCUUCGGCAAUGGACGAAAGUCUGACCGAGCAACGCCGCGUGAGUGAAGAAGGUUUUCGGAUCGUAAAACUUUGUUGGUAGAGAAGAACGUUGGUGAGAGUGGAAAGCUCAUCAAGUGACGGUAACUACCCAGAAAGGGACGGCUAACUACGUGCCAGCAGCCGCGGUAAUACGUAGGUCCCGAGCGUUGUCCGGAUUUAUUGGGCGUAAAGCGAGCGCAGGUGGUUUAUUAAGUCUGGUGUAAAAGGCAGUGGCUCAACCAUUGUAUGCAUUGGAAACUGGUAGACUUGAGUGCAGGAGAGGAGAGUGGAAUUCCAUGUGUAGCGGUGAAAUGCGUAGAUAUAUGGAGGAACACCGGUGGCGAAAGCGGCUCUCUGGCCUGUAACUGACACUGAGGCUCGAAAGCGUGGGGAGCAAACAGGAUUAGAUACCCUGGUAGUCCACGCCGUAAACGAUGAGUGCUAGAUGUAGGGAGCUAUAAGUUCUCUGUAUCGCAGCUAACGCAAUAAGCACUCCGCCUGGGGAGUACGACCGCAAGGUUGAAACUCAAAGGAAUUGACGG
rnacentral:rRNA from 1 species